UACGGAGGGUGCGAGCGUUGUCCGGAAUCAUUGGGCGUAAAGGGCGCGUAGGUGGCCCGGUCAGUCGAUGGUGAAAGCGCGGGGCUCAACUCCGCGUCGGCCGUCGAUACUGCUGGGCUUGAGCACUGUAGAGGCAGGCGGAAUUCCGGGUGUAGCGGUGGAAUGCGUAGAGAUCCGGAGGAACACCAAUGGCGAAGGCAGCACUCUGGGACGUGACUGACGCUGAGACGCGAAAGCGUGGGGAGCAAACAGG
rnacentral:rRNA from 1 species